GCAUGUAUGAGUUAUUUUCACCUCGACCUCCAAGUCUCGGACCAACCAUGGUAAACCCUCACGACUCAUCAACUCCACCGUCGUCAAUUUCUCCAGCUUCGAAGGUAGUCCUGUACUCCAAUUGGCAGAGCUCUUGUUCAUGGCGUGUUCGUUUCGCUUUGAACCUCAAAGGGAUUCCUUAUGAGUACAAAGCAGUCGACCUUGCUAAAGGAGAGCAUUUGACUCCAGAAUUUGAGAAGUUAAAUCCUCUUCAUUUAGUUCCGGUACUCGUUGAUGGUGAUUUUGUUGUUUCGGAUUCAUAUGCAAUAUUGAUGUACUUAGAAGAGAAGUACCCUGAAAAUGCACUAUUGCCAGUUGAUCUGCGGUUAAGAGCUCUCAAUCUUCAGGCUGCAAAUAUUAUCUGUUCUAGUGUACAACCGCUUACUAUGUUAGGAGUGCUGAAGCUUAUUGAGGAAAAAGUUGGUCCCGAAGAGCGACUGUCAUGGGCUCAGUAUAAUAUAGACAAGGGUUUCAUUGCUCUUGAGAAGUUGCUGAAAAAUUCUUCUGGCAAAUAUGCUACAGGAGACAAAAUCUAUAUGGCUGAUGUGUUUUUGGCCCCACAAAUUGCCAUCGCCGCUAGGAGGUUCAAUAUGGACAUGGAUAACGAGAGGAAACAAUCUCAUGCUCGAACCUGUGUAUUUGGCUUUUGUUGGAAGGUGUCACUCUUAGAUUGUGACUACAUGAAAGUGAGAGAAGAAACUCUAUGUCCAAGUACCCUACAUUAGGUAUGAUAUUUGAAUCAUGCAAGGCUUUAUCAGAAUUCGAAGCAUCUUUGCCAGAGAGACAACCUGAUGCUAUUCAGGUUCUAUGGUGCAUCUUCUUCUGAACAUUAUUGAGGAACAAGAGGAGGCCGUAACGAUUCAAUCUUUCGUCGAUUCAGUUGGAUAUUAAACUAACUGACGUUCUAUUGAUCGAGCUAAAGUGAAAGCGUUGAAUUCGUCGAUUCAAGGAAAGGCAAAAGCAGGGGGCUAUUUACUCAAAGAAGAGGGAAGCUACAACCUCAUAGGAGGGGAAAAAAUAGAGAUUCUGCAUGCCCCUAGCCGAAAGCCCCAGUUGCUGAUCUCAACUUGGCGGUUCAGACAUGUUCCCUGCUCUACUUCUGCAAAAGAUCCUGCAGAAAACCGCGACGCUUUCUCUUCUCCAAGUUGCUCCUAUGUAUGGCUGAGUCUCAAUUACAAAUUAAGAUCUUCUCAAAUGAUGGCACCUUCAUGAGCUUAGUAGAAAAAGUAGAGGGUGAAACAUUGAUCCAAUCUUUGGAAUUGCUUUAAGACAGCGUGAUCUUACAAGUCGACAUAAUUCGGAUUCUUCUCUUUAUUUAUUUAUUUAUUUUUGCCGGAAUGGAUACGUAAGGUAGUACCAUAACGUUGA